rnacentral:rRNA from 1 species
GAUAAACGCUGGCGGCGUGCUUUACCAAUGCGAGUCGAACGGGCGCUGCGUGCCAGCAAUGGGGCGUGGGCGUCAGUGGCGUCCGGGUGCGUAACACGUGGGUGACCUGCCUGUGCGUGGGGGAGUACCCGCCCGAAGGGUAGGGCUAAUACCGCGGUGCGCUCUUGUCUGUUUGGGAGAAGAGGAAAGCUGCCGGUUGCAAGACCGGUGGCGCGCGCAGAGGGGGCCUGCGGCCAUCAGCUUGCCGGUGGGGUAACGGCCUACCGGGGCGGACGACGGGUAGCCGGUCUGAGGGGACGAACGGCCGACAGUGGGACUGGGAGGAUGGUCCACAGCUCUACGGGGUUUA